UACGAAGGGGGCUAGCGUUGCUCGGAAUCACUGGGCGUAAAGGGCGCGUAGGCGGAUCUUUAAGUCGGGGGUGAAGCCUGAGGCUCAACCUCAGAAUUGCCUUCGAUACUGGAGAUCUUGAGACCGGAAGAGGUAAGUGGAACUGCGAGUGUAGAGGUGAAAUUCGUAGAUAUUCGCAAGAACACCAGUGGCGAAGGCGGCUUACUGGUCCGGUUCGUGACCGCUGAGGCGCGAAAGCGUGGGGAGCAAACAG
rnacentral:rRNA from 1 species